UGUGUGUGUGUGUGUGUGUGAA
rnacentral:miRNA from 1 species